rnacentral:lncRNA from 10 species
GUUGCUGGGUGGUUGACUGCCAGUUAACCCUGCCCAGCUUUUUCAGUUUCACAGCGUUAGAAUUCCCGAUUUUUAGUGGUGCACACCAAGCAUUGUAUUGACUGUUUCCCAGAAUCCGUUGCAGUUUGGUGAGUUCGUUGACUAAAUUCCAACCAAUGGGAUGAGUCAUAUCGAUAGAGAAAAGGAAGGCGAUCCCAUGUUGGUCAUUUCUCUUCUCCUUUGUGGUUGGAAUAUGGGCAUUGCAGAAAGCCGCCUUAAGGCUGGCAUAUAAGGAAGCUAGAUGGAAACAUGUUAGCAGUGGACAAGACACCACAGCAGCCGAGGGAGCUUUGAGAACUGAACUGAUGGGCAACACCAAAAACAAUCCAAGCCUAAACGCAGCAGAAUACUGACACACAGGAUGAGCAACAGAGACCUGUUGUACACCAGACCUGGAGGGCCCGGAGACAUGGAAGAGAUCGCAAAGCCACGAUGGAAGACCCAGGAAAUUGCGGCAAAGGAUAAUUACAACUUUGUAACGAAAAGCAAAAACAAGAAA